rnacentral:rRNA from 1 species
GACGAACGCUGGCGGCGUGCUUAACACAUGCAAGUCGAACGGUGAAGCGCCUUACUUUUUGGUGGGUGUGGAUGAGUGGCGAACGGGUGAGUAACACGUGAGUAACCUGCCCCCUUCUUCUGGAUAACCGCAUGAAAGUGUGGCUAAUACGGGAUAUUCUGGGUCUGUCGCAUGAUGGGUCUGGGAAAGAUAUUGUUUCGGUGGGGGAUGGGCUCGCGGCCUAUCAGCUUGUUGGUGGGGUGAUGGCCUACCAAGGCGGUGACGGGUAGCCGGCCUGGGAGGGUGGACGGUGACACUGGGACUGAGACACGGCCCAGACUCCUACGGGAGGCAGCUGUGGUGAAUAUUGCACAAUGGGCGCAAGCCUGAUGCAGCUACGCCGCGUGAGGGAUGGAGGCCUUCGGGUUGUGAACCUCUUUCGCCAGUGAAGCAGGCCUGCCUCGUUUGUGGGUGGGUUGACGGUAGCUGGAUAAGAAGCGCCGGCUAACUACGU